GAUGAACGCUGGCGGCGUGCCUAAUACAUGCAAGUCGAGCGAACGGACGAGAAGCUUGCUUCUCUGAUGUUAGCGGCGGACGGGUGAGUAACACGUGGAUAACCUACCUAUAAGACUGGGAUAACUUCGGGAAACCGUAGCUAAUACCGGAUAAUAUUUUGAACCGCAUGGUUCAAAAGUGAAAGACGGUCUUGCUGUCACUUAUAGAUGGAUCCGCGCUGCAUUAGCUAGUUGGUAAGGUAACGGCUUACCAAGGCAACGAUGCAUAGCCGACCUGAGAGGGUGAUCGGCCACCCUGGAACUGAGCCACGGUCCAGACUCCUACGGGAGGCAGCAGUAGGGAAUCUUCCGCAAUGGGCGAGAGCCUGACGGAGCAACGCCGCGUGAGUGAUGAAGGUCUUCGGAUCGUAAAACUCUGUUAUUAGGGAAGAACAUAUGUGUAAGUAACUGUGCACAUCUUGACGGUACCUAAUCAGAAAGCCACGGCUAACUACGUG
rnacentral:rRNA from 1 species